rnacentral:rRNA from 1 species
GGGGUAAGCGGGGAGAAGAGUGGGGGAGAAGGGCAAGACCUACACGGGUUGAGGCAGCAGCGGUACCGGGAGCAGCUAGGGCACCGGUGACGGGAGGGGUGGUGGAUCCUAACGCGGUCCUCUAGGAGGGCGGAGGCGACGAAGGAGAUGCGACUUCUUGUGCUCGGCUCACGGAGACGAAGCUGGCCUAGCUCAGCAAGGGGAAGAGACGUGGCGGUUGCGGUAACGGCCUUAAGUAGCGGAGGCGCGGAAGGGGCUCGUGCGAUACGUGUGGAUGUCCGAGUGGUGUGGCUCUAGCUACAACGGGGACACUAGCUGAUGCAGCUGCUGCUGGGGAGGAACGGUCUCGUUGGUCUACAGCCUCGGGUCCUCGGUCUACGGUGGCGGCCACGGAUGAUGAUGCACCUCCGGCGACUGUUGGUCCUCAUCAAUCCUCCGAGGGUCCGUCCUCCGGAACGGAAAAGCUAGCAUCUACGAAAACACAACCGGAAGAAUUCCGUUUGAAUAAAUUGAAUACAGACAUGAGUCUAUAAUAACGAAGGCGACUGAGAACAUAUAAGCUC